rnacentral:rRNA from 1 species
ACUCCUACGGGAGGCAGCAGUGGGGAAUUUUCCGCAAUGGGCGAAAGCCUGACGGAGCAACGCCGCGUGAGGGAUGAAGGCCUCUGGGCUGUAAACCUCUUUUCUCAAGGAAGAAGACAUGACGGUACUUGAGGAAUAAGCCACGGCUAAUUCCGUGCCAGCAGCCGCGGUAAU